rnacentral:rRNA from 1 species
ACAGCAGCCGCCGCGGUAAUACGAAGGGGGCUAGCGUUGUUCGGAAUUACUGGGCGUAAAGCGCACGUAGGCGGAUACUUAAGUCAGGGGUGAAAUCCCGGGGCUCAACCCCGGAACUGCCUUUGAUACUGGGUAUCUCGAGUCCGGAAGAGGUGAGUGGAAUUCCGAGUGUAGAGGUGAAAUUCGUAGAUAUUCGGAGGAACACCAGUGGCGAAGGCGGCUCACUGGUCCGGUACUGACGCUGAGGUGCGAAAGCGUGGGGAGCAAACAGGAUUAGAUACCCCCGUAGUCCCUGUCUCUUAUAC